rnacentral:rRNA from 1 species
UACGGAGGGUGCAAGCGUUGUCCGGAAUCACUGGGCGUAAAGGGCGCGUAGGCGGCUCGGUAAGUAGGGGGUGAAAUCCUGCGGCUUAACCGCAGGGCUGCCUUCUAAACUGUCGAGCUUGAGCACGGUAGAGGCAGAUGGAAUUCCCGGUGUAGCGGUGAAAUGCGUAGAUAUCUGGAGGAACACCGGUGGCGAAGGCGGCAUCCUGGACCAAUUCUGACGCUGAGUGAGCGAAAGCCAGGGGAGCAAACGGG